CGGCGAGUGAAGCGGCAAAAGCUCAAAUUUGAAAUCUGGUACCUUCGGUGCCCGAGUUGUAAUUUGGAGAGGGCAACUUUGGGGCCGUUCCUUGUCUAUGUUCCUUGGAACAGGACGUCAUAGAGGGUGAGAAUCCCGUGUGGCGAGGAGUGCGGUUCUUUGUAAAGUGCCUUCGAAGAGUCGAGUUGUUUGGGAAUGCAGCUCUAAGUGGGUGGUAAAUUCCAUCUAAAGCUAAAUAUUGGCGAGAGACCGAUAGCGAACAAGUACAGUGAUGGAAAGAUGAAAAGAACUUUGAAAAGAGAGUGAAAAAGUACGUGAAAUUGUUGAAAGGGAAGGGCAUUUGAUCAGACAUGGUGUUUUGUGCCCUCUGCUCCUUGUGGGUAGGGGAAUCUCGCAUUUCACUGGGCCAGCAUCAGUUUUGGUGGCAGGAUAAAUCCAUAGGAAUGUAGCUUGCCUCGGUAAGUAUUAUAGCCUGUGGGAAUACUGCCAGCUGGGACUGAGGACUGCGACGUAAGUCAAGGAUGCUGGCAUAAUGGUUAUAUGCCGCCCGUCUU
rnacentral:rRNA from 1 species